CCUACGGGAGGCAGCAGUGGGGAAUAUUGGUCAAUGGGCGCGAGCCUGAACCAGCCAAGUAGCGUGAAGGAUGACUGCCCUACGGGUUGUAAGCUUCUUUUAUGAAGGAAUAGAGUGAGUCACGUAUGCCUUUUUGAAUGUACUUUAUGAAUAAGGAUCGGAUAACUCCGUGCCCGCAGCAGCGGUAAUACGGAGGGUACGAGCGUUAUCCGGAUUUAUUGGGUGUAAAGGGAGCGUAGAUGGGUUGUUAAGUCAGUUGUGAAAGUUUGCGGCUCAACCGUAAAAUUGCAAUUGAUACUGGCAGGCUUGAGUACAGUAGAGGGAGGUGGAAUUCGUGGUGUAGCGGUGAAAUGCUUAGAGAUCACGAAGAACCCCGAUUGCGAAGGCAGCUUACUAAACGGAGACUGACACUGAGGCGCGAAAGCGUGGGGAGCAAACAGGAUUAGAUACCCUAGUAGUC
rnacentral:rRNA from 1 species